rnacentral:rRNA from 1 species
UGCAAGUCGAGGGGUAACAUUGGUGCUUGCACCAGAUGACGACCGGCGCACGGGUGCGUAACGCGUAUACAAUCUACCUUUUGCUAAGGGAUAGCCCAGAGAAAUUUGGAUUAAUACCUUAUAGUAUGCAGACUUCUCAUGGAGAUUGCAUUAAAGAUUACGGCAAAAGAUGAGUAUGCGUCCUAUUAGUUUGUUGGUGUGGUAACGGCACACCAAGACUACGAUAGGUAGGGGCCCUGAGAGGGGGAUCCCCCACACUGGUACUGAGACACGGACCAGACUCCUACGGGAGGCAGCAGUGAGGAAUAUUGGACAAUGGAGGCAACUCUGAUCCAGCCAUGCCGCGUGCAGGAAGACUGCCCUAUGGGUUGUAAACUGCUUUUAUACAGGAAGAAACACUCCCUCGUGAGGGAGCUUGACGGUACUGUAAGAAUAAGGAUCGGCUAACUCCGUGCCAGCAGCCGCGGUAAUACGGAGGAUCCAAGCGUUAUCCGGAAUCAUUGGGUUUAAAGGGUCCGUAGGUGGAUAAUUAAGUCAGAGGUGAAAGUUUGCAGCUCAACUGUAAAAUUGCCUUUGAUACUGGUUAUCUUGAGUUAUUGUGAAGUAGUUAGAAUAUGUAGUG